rnacentral:lncRNA from 1 species
UCCCAAUUGUGAAAGAUCAAAACAGGCUCCCUAGUUCAAAAGGUAACAGGAUGGCUAAAUAUGUCUAUUUAGCAGUAUAUCUAGUGACUGUUCUAAAUCAAACAUAAAUUCUACACAAUUAAGUUCUUCUAAAUAUAUAUAAUGAUGCCCUAAUCUUAGGCCUGGCAAUUUGACACGUAACACGCUAACACGAAACGAAACGACACGAAAAAAAUGGAUACGGGUUUUGAUUUUCGAUACACGAAACACGAAAGUACACGAACACGAAAUUACACGGUAGAUUUCGUGUCGGAUAUGGGUUUUCAUUUGGGGUACACGAAAUACACGAAAGUACACGAAAUAUUUGUAGAAUAUAUUUAUUAUAUAUAUGUAAUGAUAUAUUAAAUAUAUAAUUGAGUAUAAAGUAUAUAGUUAUAUGUAUGUGUGGAUAUAUAUUGUAGAUACAUUAACAAAUUUAUAAAGAAUUGUAUACAAGUAUAAUAUAUAUCAUUCACAUUUAAUAAAUUUAUAAAGGAAAAUAUAUAUUAAAUCCAUUUUUUGAUUAAAAAAUAUAUUAAUAUUUUUAUAGAUAAUAUACACAAAAAGUACACGAAAUAUACACGAAACGAUUCGAAACGGAUACGGGUUUCAAAUUAGGUACACGAAAUUAAUAACGGGCGGAUACGGGUUUCACCUUCGAGUACACGAAACACGAAAAUACACGAAACGAAAGUAUACGAAACGAAACGAUUGCCACCCCUACCUAAUCUAUAAAAUUCACACGUAUCACGUUUUAUUGAUUUCAUCUCAGGAAACAAGAAGUCUUGAAUGAGACAGUAUUCUGAGAGUUCAAACAUAAGCACGAGGACUAAAGUUCUCUUCAACCAAUGUACUGUCUAAACAGCUUGGGUUUAUAAUUUCAUGAGUUCAUAGAACACAAACAAAUGAUAUAUGAUAUAUGCUUUAAUUUGCUUAUUGGAAGGAACAUUCACAAGUGAUAAGAUAUUUUGAAGGGACUGUGAUACAUAUUACAUUGUUCGCUACACUGGCAUUAAAUCAUUAGAUUCCCCUAAACAGACACUGCAGGCUGGCAGCACAGAUUGCUCUCACGUUUACUAUAAAGGAUGAUAAACUUCAAAUAUACCUUGCUCAUAUUUAUUUAGUUGAUCAAGAUUUCGUGGUUCCAAAGCAUUAGUAGACUAAUACUUUUUAGUUUUUAAAAGUAAUAUGCAAAAAGCCUUGGGUAUCUAUAAACACACUGUAAAAUUGCAAUUCAGGUAAAGAUACAGUCAAAUACGAAUUCCAAUGAAGUCCUCCCCAAAAUUCUAAGGAAUACUGAAAUCGUCAUAUUAAGGCUGUGCUUGUAAGCUUCUAUAAAUUUCAAAUAAUUUUUUAUAUAUUUCUAAACUUAGACUGCUACAAAGGAUUGAACUUUUAAUUAUAAGCUUAUCACUUAUUGGCAGCUCAUGCAAAAAUCUUUUAUGUUGUAUUUGGUUGAGGUGAAUGAAUUCAGAAGAAUGGAACAAAAUUUGAAAUAUGUUUUGAACAAUUGUUCUAAAAUUCCAUUCCUUCCCUCAUUCCAUUCCUUACACCUUAUACUAAAAGUCACACCCCCAAUUUUGGGAAGGAAUUCUUCAUUCUCUCAUCUACCCAUUUUGCUCAAAUCUCAUCAAAACAAUUCCGCACUCACUCGUUUUCUUUCCAAACUUCCCUCAUAUUUCUAAUAAUUGCUUUUAUGUUUACUCAUUCCGUUCCAUUCUCCCCAACCAAACACAACAUUAUAGUAUUACUCAUGCUUAAGAAAAAUUAGGCGCAAGGUAACAAAAUUCCUAUCAGAAAUCUGAUUGGUACACUUCACUAGUGUUUUUAUGCGCAUCAAAGAUAUAAUUAAUCUAUGGUUCAAAAUUUAUAGUAUAAAAAUUUGAAUCAAAUCAGAAUAGGAUCAAGGGUUGUCUUCUACAUAAAGUUCCUGGGAAGUUCAUAAACAUGUUUGGUUGUGAUGUGGAAAGUGCAAAUCACCAAGAGGAUCGUGGGUAAGAAACUUCCUACAUUAUGGGGGAAUAUUCACUUCCUAUAAAAAUGUCAACCAAACAACUUAAAAAAGUUGCUAAUUCCUAGAAAGCUCAAGCUCCUGGACAUUUCCUAGGAAAUUUAAAUCAUGUCAAUUCUUAUGAUCUUUAAUUUCAAUGUAAAGCAAAGAGGAAGGAAACAAUAUAUAUAGAUGGUCAAAUGAAAGAAACCAGCAC